GACGAACGCUGGCGGCGUGCUUAACACAUGCAAGUCGAACGGAAAGGCCCUGCUUUUGUGGGGUGCUCGAGUGGCGAACGGGUGAGUAACACGUGAGUAACCUGCCCUUGACUUUGGGAUAACUUCAGGAAACUGGGGCUAAUACCGGAUAGGAGCUCCUGCUGCAUGGUGGGGGUUGGAAAGUUUCGGCGGUUGGGGAUGGACUCGCGGCUUAUCAGCUUGUUGGUGGGGUAGUGGCUUACCAAGGCUUUGACGGGUAGCCGGCCUGAGAGGGUGACCGGCCACAUUGGGACUGAGAUACGGCCCAGACUCCUACGGGAGGCAGCAGUGGGGAAUAUUACACAAUGGGCGGAAGCCAGAUGCAGCAACGCCGCGUGCGGGAUGACGGCCUUCGGGUUGUAAACCGCUUUCGCCUGUGACGAAGCGUGAGUGACGGUAAUGGGUAAAGAAGCACCGGCUAACUACGUG
rnacentral:rRNA from 1 species